UACGUAGGGGGCGAGCGUUGUCCGGAGUUACUGGGCGUAAAGCGCACGUAGGCGGUCUGCUAAGUUCGGAGGGACAGUCACCAGCUUAACUGGUGAAGGACUUCGAAAACUGGCGGACUUGAGAGCGAAAGAGGGACAUGGAAUUCCGGGUGGAGCAGUGAAAUGCGUAGAGAUCCGGAGGAACACCAAAGGCGAAGGCAGUGUCCUGGUUCGUUUCUGACGCUGAGGUGCGAAAGCCAGGGGAG
rnacentral:rRNA from 1 species